rnacentral:rRNA from 1 species
ACGAACGCUGGCGGCGUGGAUAAGACAUGCAAGUCGAACGCUGAUUUCAGGGUAGCAAUAUUCUGGAGUCAGAGUGGCGCAAGGGUGCGUAACACGUGGGUAAUCUGCCGUGAAGUUGGGGAUAACUCGCUGAAAGGCGAGCUAAUACCGGAUGUGGAUCUUGGAAGGCAUCUUUCGGGGUCCAAAGUUGGGGACCUAAGGCCUGACGCUUCACGAUGAGCCCGCGGCCUAUCAGCUAGUUGGUGAGGUAACGGCUCACCAAGGCUAAGACGGGUAGCUGGUCUGAGAGGACGACCAGCCACACUGGAACUGAGACACGGUCCAGACACCUACGGGUGGCAGCAGUCGAGAAUUUUUCACAAUGGGCGAAAGCCUGAUGGAGCGACGCCGCGUGGGGGAUGAAUGGCUUCGG